CCUACGGGAGGCAGCAGUGGGGGAUAUUGCACAAUGGGGGGAACCCUGAUGCAGCGACGCCGCGUGGGUGAAGAAGCGUUUCGGCGCGUAAAGCCCUGUCGGCAGGGAAGAAGAUGACGGUACCUGACCAAGAAGCCCCGGCUAACUACGUGCCAGCAGCCGCGGUAAUACGUAGGGGGCAAGCGUUGUCCGGAUUUACUGGGUGUAAGGGGGGCGCAGACGGCAAUGCAAGCCAGGAGUGAAAGCCCUGGGCCCAACCCGUGGACUGCUCUUGGAACUGCAUGGCUUGAGUGCAGUAGAGGCAGGCGGAAUUCCUAGUGUAGCGGUGAAAUGCGUAGAUAUUAGGAGGAACACCGGUGGCGAAGGCGGCCUGCUGGACUGUGACUGACGUUGAGGCCCGAAAGCGUGGGUAGCAAACAGGAUUAGAUACCCGGGUAGUC
rnacentral:rRNA from 1 species